GAUGAACGCUGGCGGCGUGCCUAAUACAUGCAAGUCGAGCGAACGGACGAGAAGCUUGCUUCUCUGAUGUUAGCGGCGGACGGGUGAGUAACACGUGGAUAACCUACCUAUAAGACUGGGAUAACUUCGGGAAACCGGAGCUAAUACCGGAUAAUAUUUUGAACCGCAUGGUUCAAAAGUGAAAGACGGUCUUGCUGUCACUUAUAGAUGGAUCCGCGCUGCAUUAGCUAGUUGGUAAGGUAACGGCUUACCAAGGCAACGAUGCAUAGCCGACCUGAGAGGGUGAUCGGCCACACUGGAACUGAGACACGGUCCAGACUCCUACGGGAGGCAGCAGUAGGGAAUCUUCCGCAAUGGGCGAAAGCCUGACGGAGCAACGCCGCGUGAGUGAUGAAGGUCUUCGGAUCGUAAAACUCUGUUAUUAGGGAAGAACAUAUGUGUAAGUAACUGUGCACAUCUUGACGGUACCUAAUCAGAAAGCCACGGCUAACUACGUGCCAGCAGCCGCGGUAAUACGUAGGUGGCAAGCGUUAUCCGGAAUUAUUGGGCGUAAAGCGCGCGUAGGCGGUUUUUUAAGUCUGAUGUGAAAGCCCACGGCUCAACCGUGGAGGGUCAUUGGAAACCGGAAAACUUGAGUGCAGAAGAGGAAAGUGGAAUUCCAUGUGUAGCGGUGAAAUGCGCAGAGAUAUGGAGGAACACCAGUGGCGAAGGCGACUUUCUGGUCUGUAACUGACGCUGAUGUGCGAAAGCGUGGGGAUCAAACAGGAUUAGAUACCCUGGUAGUCCACGCCGUAAACGAUGAGUGCUAAGUGUUAGGGGGUUUCCGCCCCUUAGUGCUGCAGCUAACGCAUUAAGCACUCCGCCUGGGGAGUACGACCGCAAGGUUGAAACUCAAAGGAAUUGACGGGGACCCGCACAAGCGGUGGAGCAUGUGGUUUAAUUCGAAGCAACGCGAAGAACCUUACCAAAUCUUGACAUCCUUUGACAACUCUAGAGAUAGAGCCUUCCCCUUCGGGGGACAAAGUGACAGGUGGUGCAUGGUUGUCGUCAGCUCGUGUCGUGAGAUGUUGGGUUAAGUCCCGCAACGAGCGCAACCCUUAAGCUUAGUUGCCAUCAUUAAGUUGGGCACUCUAAGUUGACUGCCGGUGACAAACCGGAGGAAGGUGGGGAUGACGUCAAAUCAUCAUGCCCCUUAUGAUUUGGGCUACACACGUGCUACAAUGGACAAUACAAAGGGCAGCGAAACCGCGAGGUCAAGCAAAUCCCAUAAAGUUGUUCUCAGUUCGGAUUGUAGUCUGCAACUCGACUACAUGAAGCUGGAAUCGCUAGUAAUCGUAGAUCAGCAUGCUACGGUGAAUACGUUCCCGGGUCU
rnacentral:rRNA from 1 species